AUUCUAAAAUUAUUCUUUUCAUUCAAUUCCAUUCCAUUCCAUUCUUUCCCUCCUCCCAAACGAGGGUUAAGGCUAUGUUAUCUUUGUAUGUGGCGUAGUAGCUAAAGUCUUUUGGUCUUAGGUGUCUGAGACAAGUUUCAUUACCCGACAUGUGCCUAAUAUGUUGAUCUCUCGAUCCUAUGGCAUUGGAACAUGGCCAUAACAUGGCCUGGCCUUUGUUGAACCCCCUGAAUACCACACUUAUUUUGUGGCCCAUAGAAAUGUGUUGGUUCCAUUCAUGGGAUAGAAGUUAAGACAUCAUUGAGACAAUAUCUACAAUUGUUCUAACUGGUCUUUUACAACAAUUACCACAAUUGAUUCUUGCUGCUUUUGGAUUAUGAAUUUGAACUUUUUAGGAAAAUUUUAUUUUCUUUCUUGAAAGUGACAAUUUGACCCUUCAGGCGUCCUGUAGAAGAAAUCCUGAAGCUGCUACCAGGACCACAUUCAGAAACAAAAAGGGGCAGAUUCUCAAGCAGUCCAUCAUAUGACACCUUGCAGGCUUCAGCUAAUAUAGACAAAGUUGCUGAUGGAAGGCGGUCUCUAGUUCUCGUUGUCUUCAUUGGAGGCAUAACAUUUGCAGAGAUUUCCGCUCUUCGAUUUCUCAGUGCUCAGGAAGGGAUGGCAUAUGAUUUGAUUGUUGGGACAACCAAAAUUGUCAGUGGGCAUAUCUUAGCUGAAACAUUUGUAGAGAGGUUGGGCUAAGGUCAAAUCCCAGCAACCCUUUGAAGGAAUUAUUUGGUUUGAAUUGAAAGAGAGUAUUUCCA